rnacentral:rRNA from 1 species
UACGGAGGAUGCGAGCGUUAUCCGGAUUUAUUGGGUUUAAAGGGUGCGUAGGCGGUCGGAUAAGUUAGAGGUGAAAUCCCGAGGCUCAACUUCGGAAUUGCCUCUGAUACUGUUCGGCUAGAGAGUAGUUGCGGUAAGCGGAAUUCCUGGUGUAGCGGUGAAAUGCGUAGAUAUCAGGAGGAACACCGGCGGCGAAGGCGGCUUACUGGACUGUAACUGACGUUGAGGCUCGAAGGCGUGGGGAGCAAACAGG